AUCCAGCUGACGAGUCCUAAAUGGGACGAAACGCGCAUCCUGGAU
rnacentral:hammerhead_ribozyme from 1 species